GGGUGCGUAGCUCAGCGGGAGAGCGCCUGACUCACAUUCAGGAGGCCGCAGGUUCGAAACCUGCCGCGCCCACCA
rnacentral:tRNA from 1 species